GAUGAACGCUGGCGGCGUGCCUAAUACAUGCAAGUCGAGCGAACGGACGAGAAGAUUGCUUCUCUGAUGUUAGCGGCGGACGGGUGAGUAACACGUGGAUAACCUACCUAUAAGACUGGGAUAACUUCGGGAAACCGGAGCUAAUACCGGAUGAUAUUUUGAACCGCAUGGUUCAAAAGCGAAAGACGGUCUUGCUGUCACUUAUAGAUGGAUCCGCGCUGCAUUAGCUAGUUGGUAAGGUAACGGCUUACCAAGGCAACGAUGCAUAGCCGACCUGAGAGGGUGAUCGCCCACACUGGAACUGAGACACGGUCCAGACUCCUACGGGAGGCAGCAGUAGGGAAUCUUCCGCAAUGGGCGAAAGCCUGACGGAGCAACGCCGCGUGAGUGAUGAAGGUCUUCGGAUCGUAAAACUCUGUUAUUAGGGAAGAACAUAUGUGUAAGUAACUGUGCACAUCUUGACGGUACCUAAUCAGAAAGCCACGGCUAACUACGUG
rnacentral:rRNA from 1 species